CUCACAUAUAUAUGAUUUAUGCUCUCACGUUUUGAUAAGUAGAGCCAUCACUGAUAGUAAGAUGCCUGAAUUAUGUUUGUUCUUCAAUCUCGCUCUUCUAAAUUGCUUUGAUGUGCUUAUUCGCCUGUAUCUGUGGUGAUUAACCAGAACAUUUAAAUAUGCUUUUACAUUUUCUGAAAGAUCGAUUCUGAAGCAGAAGGUUAGUUCAUGAAUUCAUGUAUCGAGAUAUGGAAUCUCUAUUUAAUCAAUUUCAAUCUUAUAUUUGUCUCUCUUUUGAUUCUGUGAACACUAAAAGGGAAUAAUCUGGAAAUUACUCAACCUGUCAUGACUUGCAUUUCAGAUCUAGCCUUCAAAUAUGCAGAGCAAUUGGCUAAAGAUCUUGAAUUAUUCGCGCAGCAUGCUGGUCGUAAAUCUAUGAAUAUGGAAGAUGUCAUCCUUACUUAAACGUGUAGGCAUUGAGGCCCGAGGCUUGAAGAAAUGUGAAUGUUGGCCAUCGUGUAAGGUGUUGAUGAACAUAAAUUAGGGUUUUAAGCUCUACAAAGAUGGAGAAGAUCUCUGGUGGAAUUGAACAAGAGAAAACAAUGAUUUCUGGAGAAUCAUAUGAUAAACAUGACAUUGAAUAUUCAAUAUCACAGAAAGAAUUGCAGACUUUGUGGGCUAUUGGAAAACUUUUUGGACUAAUUCCUGAUGGUUUCUAUUCAGUUCAUACUGAGAACCGUUAGACCAAUAGAUGGAACAAUCGUUUGUGAAACUCCUCAAGAGACAGUUGUGAUAGAUCAGAAUAACCCAACUGAUCAGACAUGAGAAAGAUCUGAUUUGUCUGGUUUUGCUCCAUCCAUGGUAAUAGAGGCGGGACUGAUGGCUGGAACAGAUGACCGGAGUAACAGCAAUGUCAAGGAGGAGAUGGUGGAAAUGCUUCUGCUAAUCUUUAUUAAGCCUAUAUUCCAGAAGCUUAUCAAAGAAGAUUAUGGACAAAGAAGAUUAUGGACAGCUUGCGGAAUUCAAGUUCUUCAUCUCAUAUGGAUUAUGAUAUUACGAGGAGAGGAUGCUGAAAGUAAAAGUGAUAAAGGACAAAUUUAGAAGUGAUAAAUAUGGUUUAAUUUUGAUGAAUUUGUUUAAGAUGUAAUUUGAAUUUAUUUUGUGAUAAAUGGAUUAUUG